GAUGAACGCUGGCGGCGUGCCUAAUACAUGCGAGUCGAGCGAACAGACGAGGAGCUUGCUCCGCUGACGUUAGCGGCGGACGGGUGAGUAACACGUGGAUAACCUACCUAUAAGACGGGGAUAACUUCGGGAAACCGGAUCUAAUACCGGAUAAUAUAUUGAACCGCAUGGUUCAAUAGUUAAAUACGGUUUUGCUGUCAGGUAUAGAUGGAUCCGCGCCGCAUUAGCUAGUUGCGAAGGUAAAGGCCUACCAAGGCAACGAUGCGUAGCCGAACUGUGAGACUGAUAGGCCCCCCUGGAAGUGAACCCACGUCCUGGCUACUACGGGACGGACCAGUCGGGAACCUUACGCAAUAGGCGAAAGUCUUGCGGAGCAACCGCGAGUGAGUUACGAAGGUCCUCCGAUCGUAAAACUCUGUUAUUAGGGAAGAACCACUGUGUAAGUAACUAUGCACGUCUUGACGGUACCUAAUCAGAAAGCAACGGCUAACUACGUG
rnacentral:rRNA from 1 species